rnacentral:rRNA from 1 species
UACGAAGGGGGCUAGCGUUGCUCGGAAUCACUGGGCGUAAAGCGCACGUAGGCGGACUCUUAAGUCGGUGGUGAAAUCCUGGAGCUCAACUCCAGAACUGCCUUCGAUACUGGGAGUCUCGAGUCCGAGAGAGGUGAGUGGAACUGCGAGUGUAGAGGUGAAAUUCGUAGAUAUUCGCAAGAACACCAGUGGCGAAGGCGGCUCACUGGCUCGGUACUGACGCUGAGGUGCGAAAGCGUGGGGAGCAACAGGG